rnacentral:lncRNA from 1 species
CCUGGGCACCUGGUGGGAUUGCAUUCACAGUUCCUCAAAGUGACCAAGUGAUUUGCAUUGAGCAUUGAAAGAUAUCCCCCUGGGGCACCGGCCUAGAACAGAGCAACAAAUAUUUACUAAUUCCAUUAACAGAAGAGAGUUGGAAUUUUUUUUUCCCAAGCGAAUAUCCGAGGCCCCAAGUUCAUGGUGAGCCCUCUCCCCCGCAUGGCCCCCUCUCCCCCCACCUCCUCCCUACACGCCCAGGACUUAUAUAUAGUUCACUCAGUGCCAUUUCCCCAAUUUUUUUCUGAAGUUCAAGACAAGUUGAAGGGUCAAAAAGGCAAAGGGUGUUUUAGAAGUUUAGCAGACAGCUUUUGGUACAAGGAAAAGAGAGGGAGAGCUGGAGAGAGGGAAACAGGGUGAAGAGGCAGGAAUCUGGCUCGCAUUAAGCUGGGAGGUUCCAACCAUUGAUUCGCUCUGGAAUUAUGGCUUAAAAAAAUUGCAAGACAUGGUUUAUUCAUGAGGGUUCUUUUUUUUUCUUAAGUAGCCACCCAAAGUUACACUUUGGUUCACCAAGACGAAGACUCAUCCUUCCUCUCUCUAUGGAUCUUUCAGAUGAAGAAAUUAAGGCUCAGGAGGGAGGAAAAAAAUAAAAGAAAGAAUUGUCCAAGGUCACCAAGGCAUCUGGACUCCCAUAUGUUGAGCUACUUCUGCUUGUGGGGCAGCUGCAAUACAUGAAUUCUUCACUACAUGUCAUCAGAAUUUCAAAUGGAUUUGAGUUCCCAUAGGAUUAAGAUCCACUGGCCUAAAAUCAGGGGGAAUUGAUGGGAGAAUUUCUGUAUUGACCUGUGAAAUUGAGCACCAAAGAAACAAUGCCGUGGACUCGCAGAGUGCAGCUAUCACACCAUUUGGUCCAGGAAACCCAAUUCAAAUGUCUACGGUGACAAAAGAGGACUCAUUCUUGGAGCCCAGUCUCCAUACUGUGAGGAAGCCCAAAAGGCACACACUAACAGAACACGUGGAAAAGCUUCAGCCUCGUGUAGAUGUUCUGGUCAACAUCCCAGUUGAUGUCACAGCCAACAGCCUGCAUCAAGUGCCUGACACGUGAGUGAUGACACCUCCAGAUGAUUCCAGCCCCUAGCCAUUGGAUCACCCCCAGCUGUCAAAUCUUCCAGCUGAGGCCCCAGACAUUGUGGGGCAGAGACAAGCUGUUCCCAUUGUGCCCCAUCCAAAUUCCUGACCCACAGAAUGAAUGAGCA